rnacentral:rRNA from 1 species
GUGUCAGCCGCCGCGGUAAGACGAAGGUGGCGAGCGUUACUCGGAAUUACUAGGCGUAAAGCGUGGGUAGGUGGUUCGGCAAGUCUGUUGUGGAAGCUCCUGGCUCAACCGGGAGAGGCCAAUGGAUACUACCGAGCUUGAAUGUGGGAGAGGUCACUGGAAUUCCUGGUGUAGCGGUGAAAUGCGUAGAGAUCAGGAGGAACACCGAUGGCGAAAGCAGGUGACUGGACCACUAUUGACACUGAGCCACGAAAGCUAGGGGAGCAAACAGGAUUAGAUACCCGAGUAGUCC